AACGAACGCUGGCGGCAUGCCUAACACAUGCAAGUCGAACGAAGGCUUCGGCCUUAGUGGCGCACGGGUGCGUAACACGUGGGAAUCUACCCUUAGGUUCGGAAUAACUCAGGGAAACUUGAACUAAUACCGGAUGAUGUCGUAAGACCAAAGAUUUAUCGCCUUUGGAUGAGCCCGCGUAGGAUUAGCUGGUUGGUGGGGUAAAGGCCUACCAAGGCGACGAUCCUUAGCUGGUCUGAGAGGAUGAUCAGCCACACUGGGACUGAGACACGGCCCAGACUUCUACGGGAGGCAGCAGUGGGGAAUAUUGGACAAUGGGCGCAAGCCUGAUCCAGCAAUGCCGCGUGAGUGAUGAAGGCCUUAGGGUUGUAAAGCUCUUUUACCAGGGAUGAUAAUGACAGUACCUGGAGAAUAAGCUCCGGCUAACUCCGUGCCAGCCGCCGCGGUAA
rnacentral:rRNA from 1 species